rnacentral:rRNA from 1 species
CAGUCGCCACGGUAAUGCGUAGGUGGCAAGCGUUGUCCGGAAUUAUUGGGCGUAAAGGGCUCGCAGGCGGUUUCUUAAGUCUGAUGUGAAAGCCCCCGGCUCAACCGGGGAGGGUCAUUGGAAACUGGGAAACUUGAGUGCAGAAGAGGAGAGUGGAAUUCCACGUGUAGCGGUGAAAUGCGUAGAGAUGUGGAGGAACACCAGUGGCGAAGGCGACUCUCUGGUCUGUAACUGACGCUGAGGAGCGAAAGCGUGGGGAGCGAACAGGAUUAGAUACCCCUGUAGUCCCUGUCUCUUAUAU